rnacentral:rRNA from 1 species
ACACAUGCAAGUCUUUGCGGAAACGAGUUAACUGACCCUUCGGGGAACGUUAACGGCGUCGAGCGGCGGACGGGUGAGUAAUGCCUAGGAAAUUGCCCUGAUGUGGGGGAUAACCAUUGGAAACGAUGGCUAAUACCGCAUGAUGCCUUCGGGCCAAAGAGGGGGACCUUCGGGCCUCUCGCGUCAGGAUAUGCCUAGGUGGGAUUAGCUAGUUGGUGAGGUAAGGGCUCACCAAGGCGACGAUCCCUAGCUGGUCUGAGAGGAUGAUCAGCCACACUGGAACUGAGACACGGUCCAGACUCCUACGGGAGGCAGCAGUGGGGAAUAUUGCACAAUGGGCGCAAGCCUGAUGCAGCCAUGCCGCGUGUAUGAAGAAGGCCUUCGGGGUUGUAAAGUACUUUCAGCAGUGAGG